rnacentral:rRNA from 1 species
UACGUAGGUGACAAGCGUUGUCCGGAUUUACUGGGCGUAAAGAGCGCGCAGGCGGUCGUUCAAGUCGAGUGUGAAAGCCCCCCGGCUCAACUGGGGAGGGUCACUCGAUACUGAUCGACUCGAAGGCAGGAGAGGGAAGUGGAAUUCCCGGUGUAGUGGUGAAAUGCGUAGAUAUCGGGAGGAACACCAGUGGCGAAGGCGACUUCCUGGCCUGUUCUUGACGCUGAGGCGCGAAAGCUAGGGGAGCAAACGGG